rnacentral:tRNA from 1 species
UCCCUAAUGGUCCAAUGGCUAAGACUCUAUGCUCCCAACACAGGGUUCCAAGGUUCAAUCCCUGGUCAGAGAA